ACGGCGAGUGAACAGGGAAAAGCCCAAAACCGAAACCUGUGGCUGUUUGGUUACUAGGCCAUGUGGUGUUAAGGUCAUUCCGCAAGAGUACUGCUCCACUCCGAGUCCAACAAGGAGUAUGGUAAUGGGUACAUGGCCCAAAGAGGGUGAAAGGCCCGUUGGGUUGGAGGUGCACUAAUGCCAGUAUUCUUCUGGGUAUACCUUGGAGUCGGGUUGGUUGAGAAUCCAGCCCAAAGUAGGUGGUAAACUCCAUCCAAGGCUAAAUACUAACACGAGUCCGAUAGCGAACAAAUACCGUGAGGGAAAGUUGAAAAGUACUUUGAAGAGAGAGUAAACAGUGCGUGAAACCGCUCAGAGGUAAACGGGUGGAGUUGAACUGUGAACCCUGUGAAUUUAGCUGGUGAGCAUGGCUUGGGCUUGUUCAAGUUGGUUGGUUCUGGUGGUCUGCUCAGCAGCAGGUCUUCACCACCCGGUGAAGAUGCGCGGAGCACUUAUCAGGUGUUCGCAGCCAUAUAAUCCGGGCCAGCUUGCCAGUGAUCUUUCACAGGGUGUUCACAACGACCAGCACCGCUGGCUGACUGUUAUGGUUAAACCGGUCUUUCAUUGUCUUCGCGGCUUUGCAUGGUUGGGAUGGCAGGUAGCUUGUGGGCUUGCUCUCGGUUCGCCGUGAGUUUCAGUCCACGGGUGUAAUCCGCUGACUAUCUCGGUUCUCUGCAGUGUGCUGGAGACGGCGGCUUGUGGUGCGUGCGUGCGUUCUAGCUGACUGGUAAUUUCGAGUUUGGUCUCAUAGUUGGCUGUCUUGGCAGGCCUUCAUACGUCUCGCGACUAAUAGGUGGGUGGUUGCGUGCGUGGUAGUGUUCAGGCCCGAAAGUCUGUGGUGUUGCGGUAGACUUCCACCUGACCCGUCUUGAAACACGGACCAAGGAGAGUAACAUGUACGCGAGU
rnacentral:rRNA from 1 species